UAUAAUGACUCUCGGCAACGGAUAUCUAGGCUCUUGCAUCGAUGAAGAACGUANCGAAAUGCGAUACUUGGUGUGAAUUGCAGAAUCCCGUGAACCAUCGAGUCUUUGAACGCAAGUUGCGCCCGAUGCCAUUAGGUUGAGGGCACGUCUGCCUGGGUGUCACAU
rnacentral:rRNA from 1 species